rnacentral:rRNA from 1 species
UGGUUCUGGCAUCGAUGAAGAACGCAGCGAAAUGCGAUAAGUAAUGUGAAUUGCAGAAUUCAGUGAAUCAUCGAAUCUUUGAACGCACAUUGCGCCCCCUGGUAUUCCGGGGGGCAUGCCUGUUCGAGCGUCAUU